CUACCAGACUCCUACGGGAGGCAGCAGUGGGGAAUAUUGCACAAUGGGGGAAACCCUGAUGCAGCGACGCCGCGUGAGUGAAGAAGCAUUUCGGUAUGUAAAGCUCUAUCAGCAGGGAAGAAAAUGACGGUACCUGACUAAGAAGCCCCGACUAACUACGAGCCGGCAGCCGCGGCAAUACGUAGGGGGCAAGCGUUAUCCGGAUUUACUGGGUGUAAAGGGAGCGUAGACGGCAUGGCAAGUCAGAUGUGAAAGCCCGGGGCCCAACCCCGGGACUGCAUUUGAAACUGUCAGGCUGGAGUGCAGGAGAGGUAAGUGGAAUUCCUGGUGUAGCGGUGAAAUGCGUA
rnacentral:rRNA from 1 species